rnacentral:rRNA from 1 species
CCUACGGGUGGCAGCAGUGGGGAAUAUUGCACAAUGGGGGAAACCCUGAUGCAGCAACGCCGCGUGAGUGAAGAAGUAUCUCGGUAUGUAAAGCUCUAUCAGCAGGGAAGAAAAUGACGGUACCUGACUAAGAAGCCCCGGCUAACUACGUUCCAGCAGCCGCGGUCAUACGUAGGGGGCAAGCGUUAUCCGGAUUUACUGGGUGUAAAGGGAGCGUAGACGGUGUGGCAAGUCUGACGUGAAAGCCCGGGGCUCAACCCCGGGGCUGCUUUGGAAACUGUCAUGCUGGAGUGCGGGAGAGGUAAGCGGAAUUCCUAGUGUAGCGGUGAAAUGCGUAGAUAUUAGGAGGAACACCAGUGGCGAAGGCGGCUUACUGGACAGUAACUGACGUUGAGGCUCGAAAGCGUGGGGAGCAAACAGGAUUAGAUACCCCAGUAGUC